rnacentral:tRNA from 1 species
GGUGUAGCUCAUUGGUACAGCACUUGCCUGGAUUGCAGAAAAGUCUGGGUUCAAUUCCUAGCACACACA